rnacentral:snoRNA from 1 species
AUGCGUCUCUGACAGACCUGGAGCAGUUAAUGUCUGCUGCUAAGGUUUCCACUACAGCUGCAAGAAAAAGAAGGUCCUCGCGCUUUCUGUCUGUCUGGUUGUAGCAGCCAAGAUUGAAUGCGGGAAUACAGGA